CACGUAGGGGGCAAGCGUUGUCCGGAUUUAUUGGGCGUAAAGAGCUCGUAGGUGGUUCGGUAAGUCAGGUGUGAAACCUCCAGGCUCAACCUGGAGACGCCACUUGAUACUGCUGUGACUGGAGUCCGGUAGGGGAGCGUGGAAUUCCUGGUGUAGCGGUGAAAUGCGCAGAUAUCAGGAGGAACACCAGCGGCGAAGGCGGCGCUCUGGACCAUAACUGACGCUGAGGCGCGAAAGCUAGGGGAGCAAACAGG
rnacentral:rRNA from 1 species